rnacentral:rRNA from 1 species
CGAAUGAUUAGAGGUUCGGGAGUUGUAACAACUUUCACCUAUUCUCAAACUUUAAAUUGGUAAGAACGCAGAGUUGCUUCAUUGAACUCUGUGCCGAAUGCGUGUUCCAUGUGGGCCAUUUUUGGUAAGCAGAACUGGCGACGAGGGUUCAACCUAAGGCAGGGUUGAGGCGACCAAUUGGCAGCUAAUGAGAUGAAAAGGUGUUAGUUCAUUUAGACAGUAGGACGGUGGCCAUGGAAGUCGGAACCCGCUAAGGAGUGUGUAACAACUCACCUACCGAAUGAACUAGCCCUGAAAAUGGAUGGCGCUAAAGCGGACUACUUAUACUCAGCCAUCAUGGCAAGUGCCAGGCCGUGAUGAGUAGGA